GCAGGGUGGCCACCCAGUAAUCAGCACAAGUUAGAAUGUGGGCAACUUGGCAGUCGUUGCGCAGGCACUUUGGUGACUCUAGAUAACCUCGGGCCAAUCGCACGUCCCCGUGACGGCGACGAUGCAUUCGGAUGUCUGCCCUAUCAACUUUCGAUGUUACUUUCUGCACCUUCCAUGGUGACCACGGGUAACGGGGAAUCAGGGUUCGAUUCCGGAGAAGGAGCCUGAGAAACAGCUACCAUAUCCAAGGAAGGCAACAGGCGCACAAAUUACCCACUCCCGACGCGGGGAGGUAGUGAC